UGAUGUCCCGUGAGUUAAAGUGCCCUGCCCACUAUGCCAAUAGAAGGGAAGGAAAAAUUCUUCUCUACUCGCAAGCUCUUCCUGCUGGACUAGCAAUUAAGCUGACAUGAGACAGAUUAACAGGAGAAAAAACCCGAAGUUUCAUUACAUGUGCGUGGAGGCCCAGUGACAGAAUUGAGACCUCAAGAAAUAACCAAGAAGGCACCACGCCCAGCAUGGAGCCCCCAAGCCCAGCGCAGGGCCUGAACUCCUGACCCCUGAGAUCAAGACCUGAGCUGAGAUCAAGAGUCGGAUGCUUAGCCAACUGGGCCACCCAGGUGCUCCCUGCUUGCACUUUAAAGACUUGUUUAUUUAAUGCUCUUAACCCCAUUUUAGUGAUGGAGACUGAGGUUCUGAGAGGUUAAGUAACUUUCCCAGAGUCACACACCCAAGAAGCCUAGAGGCUGGAUUCACACUCCGCUUCUGACUGGACCAUUCCAGCUCUGUUUCUAGGGCAAAGGUCACAAUUAGAAUGCAGUAAAGGAGGAAGACUCCAGAAACCCCGUGAACUGAUGAAAUAAAAAUCUGCCCUGCCACAGAAACCCACGACUGAUGCAAAGAAUUUGUCUUCGCGGCAGCGGCUCUCUGCUUUGUGCUUCUGCCUCGUGGUGUGGACUAGUGCACAAGACUCUCCCGAAUUUGUGAACGCACCGCGAGAUGUUCUGCAGCUCGUGGUGCGUCUAGCAAGAUGAGUGCCGGUGAGAACCAACAUUUUCCAAAUGAUGUGAUCUCAAGAGUAGAUCAAGAUUCUAAGAUGCAGGUCCUGAUUUCUGAAACCAAGUUGCGACAGGAUAAAGUGUGCAUAUCAACCAGCAGAUUAAUCAGGUUAUGGUGCAGUAACACAAACCCCCACAUCUUAGUGGCUUCCCCCCACACACACACACACAUCUUAGUGGCUUUAAACAUCAAAGGUUUAUCUUCCACUUUCAAUACCUGUCCUUUGUAGGUUGGCAGGAUGGCUCUUCCCAUCAGUCAGUCACUCAGGUAUUAGGCUGGCAAAGAAGCCACCAUCUUGAAUGUUGUCAGUUGCCAAGUCCAAGGGAAAAAUGCUCAGGAAGGCCUCGCUUGGGCAGUUAACUGCCCAGAAAUGAAUCAUACCACUUCUACUUGCUACUCAUUGGCCAGAACUAGUCAAAUGACCCUUCUCAACCACAAGGGGGCCAGGAAGUGCUGGAGGGGGAGAGAACUGGACUUUGGUGGUAAACAGCGCUAGUAACGACCACGGUGGUUUGAGGUUGGAGGACAGCAGGGUGAAUGUCGAUAAAGGAGCAGAUAAUUUAGGGGGAUGGCUGCUGGCUCUGCUGGAUGGACAGCAUGCACUAAUGCUCCAGACCCCCUCAGGCGUCUGAAACCUCAAAUGGCUGUAGUCAUGUGUAAUCAGCUUCUUUGACAAGCAGGACUUACUUAUAGCAAAGUUCCAAGUCAGAACGCCCAAGACUGAGCACUGUUCUUGCAAAUUUGCACCGUUCAGUACCGCAGCGACCCUCUUGAGCUUGUGUGCAGGGGUGGGAGGGUGAUUUCAGAGUUAUAGGGACCAAGUACUUUAUCCAUGUUGAACUCCUGAAAUUCAGCACUGUUAGUGGAGAUGGGUACCACCUCCCCCUGGUCACUGAUGACCUCACAUCACCCAGGAAUGACCUCCUCCUUUCCUCUAAAUGGUAACAUUUAAAUUAAAGUUUAAUCUGAAUGAACAAAUUCAUAAACCCUCCCUCAGUAGGGUAUGAGUAAUGUAUCCCAGUACAUUGCCUUCUUUCCUUCGGCUUGCUUGAAUAGUGGGGAAGGCUUAUAUUUGACUUAAAUGGUCUUUAAAAAAUUUUUUUAAAGUAAGCUCUACACCCAAUGUGGGGCUUGAACUCACAACCUGAGAUCAAAAGUCACAAGCUCUACCAACUGAGCCAGCGAGGCACCCCUUAAAUGGUCUUUUCAAUAGUUUUUUAAAAACAUAAAAUAGCAUUGCAAAAAGUAACAUGUAUGUAAGCCUUAGUAACAUUAGAAUACCAUUUUAAAUGUCUGUUUAGAAGUACUAUAACUUAUUUGUGUAAGUACUCUUAUCAAUGGGUUUUUUGAUUGCUUUAUACUCCUAAGAACUCUGGGCUGAGUAUCUCAUGUCCGUUUGAAGAGGAUCAGAAUAUGCCACCCCAAAAUAUGCCACUUUGAGUUGAAGGCAUUUGAGAAUAGAUGCAGAAAAGGCUCCCUGUCCUCCUCCUUCCUAUCUAAGAGCAGGACAUAAAUUUCUCAUGAGAAAGGAGUCCUGCCUGUACCAGGAGAUAGGGAGCCAACGCCAAGAUGAAUCUGUACAAACAAAUCUUACUAUAGCGAUCCUUAUCUUCCAUUAGUUUACCCCAUAUAUUUACUUUCCCACAAUUUACUGCCCUGAGAAGUUCGAACUCCUUUUGUCUUGUGACAUUUCUCAAAUGUAUUGCUCUUUGUUAAAAAUGGUAUAUAAGCUCUCAGGCCUAAUGGCUUCUUUGAGGUUUUUACUUCAUUUCUGUGUGGCCCCCCAUAUACAUAUGAAAUAAACUUUUUUUUCCUGUUAA